rnacentral:misc_RNA from 1 species
GAACUGCGAUAAGUAAUGUGAAUUGCAGAAUUCAGUGAAUCAUCGAGUCUUUGAACGCACAUUGCGCCCCCUGGCAUUCCGGGGGGCAUGCCUGUCCGAGCGUCAUUGCUGCCCUUCAAGCCCGGCUUGUGUGUUGGGUCGUCGUCCCCUCCGGGGGACGGGCCCGAAAGGCAGCGGCGGCACCGCGUCCGGUCCUCGAGCGUAUGGGGCUUUGUCACCCGCUCGAUAAGGACCGGCCGGGCGCCAGCCGGCGUCUCCCACCUUUUUUUCUCAGGUUGACCUCGGAUCAGGUAGGGAUACCCGCUGAACUUAAGC